rnacentral:tRNA from 1 species
GGGGUCAUGGCUCAGUUGGUGGAGGGCCUGCCUUGCAUGCACAAGGCCCUGGGUUUAAUCCCCAGCACCCCCA